rnacentral:rRNA from 1 species
ACGGAAGGCAGCAGUGGAGAAUCUUGCACAAUGGGGGAAACCCUGAUGCAGCAACGCCGCGUGAAGGAUGAAGGCCCUUGGGUCGUAAACUUCUUUUCUGAGGGAAGAUAAUGACGGUACCUCAGGCAUAAGUACCGGCUAACUACGUGCCAGCAGCCGCGGUAAUACGUAGGGGGCGAGCGUUAUCCGGAAUUAUUGGGCGUAAAGAGUACGUAGGUGGUUUCCUAAGCAUGGGGUUUAAGGCAAUGGCUUAACUAUUGUUCGCCCCAUGAACUGGGUUACUUGAGUGCUGGAGGGGAAAGCGGAAUUCCUAGUGUAGCGGUGAAAUGCGUAGAUAUUAGGAGGAACACCAGUGGCGAAGGCGGCUUUCUGGACAGUAACUGACACUGAGGUACGAAAGUGUGGGGAGCAAACAGGAUUAGAUACCCUGGUA